AUUGAACGCUGGCGGCAUGCUUUACACAUGCAAGUCGAACGGUAACAGGCCGCAAGGUGCUGACGAGUGGCGAACGGGUGAGUAAUGCAUCGGAACGUGCCCAGUCGUGGGGGAUAACGCAGCGAAAGCUGUGCUAAUACCGCAUACGAUCUCUGGACGAAAGCGGGGGACCGUAAGGCCUCCCGCGAUUUGAGCGGCCGAUGUCAGAUUAGGUAGUUGGUGGGGUAAAGGCUCACCAAGCCAACGAUCUGUAGCGGGUCUGAGAGGACGACCAGCCACACUGGGACUGAGACACGGCCCAGACUCCUACGGGAGGCAGCAGUGGGGAAUUUUGGACAAUGGGCGCAAGCCUGAUCCAGCAAUGCCGCGUGAAGGAAGAAGGCCUUCGGGUUGUAAACUGCUUUUGUACGGAACGAAAAGGUUUGGGUUAAUACCCUGGGCCGAUGACGGUACCGUAAGAAUAAGCACCGGCUAACUACGUGCCAGCAGCCGCGGUAA
rnacentral:rRNA from 1 species